ACGUCCAUACCACGUUGAAAACAUCGGUUCUCGUCCGAUCACCGAAGUUAAGCAACGUCGGGCCCGGUCAGUAAUUGGGUGACCACCUGGGAACACCGGGUGCUGUAGGCU